GGAGGAGGCGCGAUUGCCAAAAAGACGGAGAUAGAUCUGUUAGUGUACGAGAUUUUGGGAAAAGAUUCACCAAUUUUGAAUGGAAUUGAAGAAACAUCGGCAGAAAUGGAACCAAUUCCAAACUUUUUUGAUAAUGUGUCCACCAAUAGCCCGGAGCGAAACGUAAAUCUUUUUAAUAAUGGAUCUUUAACCGCCAAUAGUCCGAAACCAACUGUAAUAAAUAAUGUAGCUUCAUCCUCAUCCACGGAAAUCAUGACCAACAAAGGAAAAAGAAAGCGUUCUAGUAAAGAAGAUGACAACAAGAGUACUUUAGAAGAUUUAAGGAAAAAAAAUUAAAGCUACAAGUUACGUAUUUAGAAAUCCAAAAUCAUAAAACCGCACUGGAAAUUUUUGCUCUGGAAAAA
rnacentral:lncRNA from 1 species